rnacentral:rRNA from 1 species
UACAGAGGUGGCAAGCGUUGUUCGGAAUUACUGGGCGUAAAGGGCGAGUAGGUGGUCAUCUAAGUCAGACGUGAAAUCCCUCGGCUUAACCGGGGAACUGCGUCUGAUACUGGAUGGCUUGAGUUCGGGAGAGGGAUGCGGAAUUCCAGGUGUAGCGGUGAAAUGCGUAGAUAUCUGGAGGAACACCGGUGGCGAAGGCGGCAUCCUGGACCGGCACUGACACUGAGGAGCGAAAGCCAGGGGAGCAAACGGG